rnacentral:rRNA from 1 species
GGAAGGAUCAUUACUGAAGAAUGGUAGGGUUGAGCUGACUCUUAGGGGUAUGUGCUCGCUCUAUCGCUUUUUCUACUCUCCACUGUGCACCUAUUGUAGGCUACAAUAACUCUCAAGUCCUCUCGCAAGGGGGGGUACAUUUGGAUAGAAGGCUAUGCAUUCAUUUGCUUGCUUUCGAUUUUGUAGCCUAUGUCUAUACAAACUCUUCAUAGUCUAAUGAAUGUGUAUUGUUGGUCUUUGACCGAUAAAUCAUAUACAACUUUCAGCAACGGAUCUCUUGGCUCUCGCAUCGAUGAAGAACGCAGCGAAAUGCGAUAAGUAAUGUGAAUUGCAGAAUUCAGUGAAUCAUCGAAUCUUUGAACGCACCUUGCACUCCUUGGUAUUCCGAGGAGUAUGCCUGUUUGAGUGUCAUUAAAUUCUCAAAACCUAACUGUUUUUACGAACGGUUAAGGCUUUUGGAUGUGAGGGUUUUGCUGGCUUCAAUCGAGUCUGGCUCCCUUUAAAUGCAUUAGUGGUUGCUUCAUUCACUAGAGUGUGAUAGUAUAUCUACGCUCGCUACAGUGAACUGAUUAAAGUUCAUCCGCUUCAAAAACGGUCUUGCUUCAAGACAAUUAUUUUGACUCAUUUGACCUCAAAUCAGGUAGGACUACCCGCUGAACUUAAGCAUAUCAAUAAGCGGAGGAAAAGAAACUAACAAGGAUUCCCCUAGUAACUGCGAGUGAAGCGGGAAGAGCUCAAAUUUAAAAUCUGGCAGUCCUCCGGCUGUCCGAGUUGUAAUUUAGAGAAGUGUUGCCCGCGCUGGACCGUAUACAAGUCCUCUGGAAUGGGGCGUCAUAGAGGGUGAGAAUCCCGUCUUUGAUACGGACUACCAGUGCUUUGUGGUGCGCUCUCGAAGAGUCGAGUUGUUUGGGAAUGCAGCUCAAAAUGGGUGGUAAAUUCCAUCUAAAGCUAAAUACAGGCGAGAGACCGAUAGCGAACAAGUACCGUGAGGGAAAGAUGAAAAGAACUUUGGAAAGAGAGUUAAACAGUACGUGAAAUUGCUGAAAGGGAAACGCUUGAAGUCAGUCGCGUUGUGCAGGAAUCAGCCUUGCUUUUGCUUGGUGUACUUUCUGUUCAAUGGGUCAGCAUCAGUUUUGACCAUUGGAUAAAGGUUAGAGAAAUGUGGCACCUUCGGGUGUGUUAUAGUCUCUGAUCGUAUACAGUGGUUGGGACUGAGGAACUCAGCACGCCGCAAGGACGGGCCUU